CCAAGAUCAACUGAUUCACCUGAUUAGGGAAUUGCUCCUGAACGAAAUGUGACCCAUUGGGCACGUAUGUAACCUCUAAAUUAGUAAUGCUCGACCUUCUACUUUUGGAUCCUCUAUGUUAAACUCAUACCUUUCGUCUAGUAACGAUCUACACAAGAUUUAAAGUGAGGGUUAAUUAGGCCCAUCUAUUAUGCAGUAUUCAAGUGGUCAAUAAUUGGGAUCUGAAAUGAGUUACCUGUAGGGAACUUUGAGAGCAGUUUGAAAUCCAGAUUUUUCAUAUAAAUUGCCAUACGCGACAAGAUCCUCCUCCGUGAACCAGGAGGGCAAAGGCGUAUCUGGCUCCACAAGAUCCAUGAUCUCCUGGUUUUCACUGGCUAUUGGGAUUUCACUUGCAGAGAAUAAUAUGUAGAUGUUUUUCACCACUGUUUUAGCAUCAAAACGGCUGAAAUCAGCUUCGGCUCUUCCAGGAUUCUGUAAGUAGUGUAUGAGUCAAGAACAUUUAAUUUCUUCCAUGGAGAAUCCCAAAAUGGUGAUGAAUUGAUGAAAUUAAGUUGGGAUGAGAACGACGUACCCGAAAUCUUGAGAUGUAGAAACCCUCGGGAAGGGAUUCAUGACUAACGAGAGGACCUGGGGGGAUAAAUGGCACACCAAGGGUUACGACUCCUAAAACCCUUUCACCACGUAGAAGCGCAAAUGCGUAAGCCACAAACGCUCCAAAAUCUUUGCCGAUUACGAACACCUAUUAGGUAGAAUAAGAUCAAAAUUCGGCAACAAAAUAUUUAUGGAUUUUGUUAGGUUUCAUGUUCUUUAAUUGAAGACAUCAGAUGAACUCAAUAAUUUUUCCCAAAUGCUCACUCAAACGCAGAAAAGCAAAAAAAUAUGUUCAUUAUAUCACAAUCAUUCAUAUCAGUCAUAUCACUUGGUUUAACUUUAACUGGAUCAACCAAAACUGAGAUGAUCAUUAUGCUAGUUCAUUGGAUUUCAAAGAAAAAUGAUGAUUAUUAAAGUUUAGUAUGAGAUGACAGAUGUUUUGCUCGAUUAUGAAAUCGAAGAAAGUGCAAAAACAUCUGACCACACUAGCGAAGUUCUUAAAACUCAAAAUUAGGAUUGAUUUGCCUGCUAAAAAGUCGAUUACGAAUUACGAGAGGGAGUAGUUGAUGUAUCACCUUGUUAACGUUGAGAGAAUCGAGAAUCGCGAGGGUAUCGUAAAGCAUGUCGGAAAAGGAAGUUUUCUCCGGUUCAACGCCGUGAUCUGAUAGCCCGUAACCUCUGAAAUCAGGUGCAAUGGCUCUGAAACCAGCAUUGGCAACGCCAAUCAUCUGGUGGCGCCAGGUGUACCAUAUCUCCGGGAAGCCAUGCAAGAAAACCACUGCCGGCGAAGACUCUUUUCCGAUCUCGGCUACGUGAAGCUUGAUCCCGUUCACUUCAACGAACUUGUGCUCUAUUUGGUCCAUUUUUUAGCGCAAGAGGGAAAGUUUUGUUUUGUUAAAUUGAAUUGAAAUGGUGCGAUUAUAUAGGCUAAUUAUGAGAUAAUUAGAAUCUUUUAAUCUGUAAAAAUAGAAUAUAGUUAACGAUUUAGUGUUUGUU